rnacentral:rRNA from 1 species
UACGGAGGAUCCAAGCGUUAUCCGGAUUCAUUGGGUUUAAAGGGUCCGUAGGUGGACAAUUAAGUCAGAGGUGAAAUCCUGCAGCUUAACUGUAGAAUUGCCUUUGAAACUGGUUGUCUUGAGUCAUUGUGAAGUGGUUAGAAUAUGUAGUGUAGCGGUGAAAUGCAUAGAUAUUACAUGGAAUACCGAUUGCGAAGGCAGAUCACUAACAAUGUACUGACACUGAUGGACGAAAGCGUGGGGAGCGAACAGG